UGCCAUCGCUAAGUCAAGUCUACUUCCGGUGACUCUUUUGUCACCGUUCUCCUCAAUGGAAGUAUUGUCUGUUACAGCUUUGGCAGAUUGACGCUGGUUCGCGCCGAAUUUCAUUCUGAAGCUAGGCUGAUUGGUUUUCGUCUUGAAAGCCGAUCGUUAAGAACUAAGCAGUGUUCUGUUUUUGAGUUGAGAACUGCUCGCCUUUUCUUGGCCCCUCAGUAGCCUUUCUCUUAGUAACAUUUCACACAUCG
rnacentral:snoRNA from 1 species